UAUUGAAGCUAUUUUAAAGAUGAAGAUUUACUUUUAGGUAGGUCCCCUUUUCUCUACGGAAUGAAUGGUCAGGAAAAUCGUGUACCCACCUCUCAAUCUCUUUUCAAUUCCUAGGAAAGUAACUUUAUCAAAUUUUAUACCAGUUGAAUUUCUUCCAGAAUGUCUUCUCUCAUUCUUGAUCUCUCCCAGGUAGUAACCAGUUGGCAUCACUUUGUGUACCUCCCUCAUUCCAGCAGUGCUAGGAUUAAAGAAAGGAUUGACUUGAAUAUAUUCAAAUUCUUUUAAAUCAUCCUUAAGAAUCUCUAAAGAGAGAUUCCAUGUCUGGGGUCUUAUGUGUGAUUCCUGUGGACUUGGAGCAGCUGUGUAUCAACCAGUCCUAUGAUUUAAUGGUUUCUGGCUAUUAAUACUCAGAGUAGAGGACCAGGAGCGGCUGUGUAUCAACCAGUCCUAUGAUUUAAUGGUUUCUGGCUAUUAAUACUCAGAGUAGAGGACCAGGCCAGCCCCUUUGCCUGGUGUUCUGGGCAUAGUAAUAGGUUACUAAUCACAGGUUCUGGGUAAAUAAAAGCUUUGUUACAAAAUAAAAUAGCUUGGUCUUAAUAUUACAUCUAUUUAAGGAAAGGAACAGAUUUUGCAUCCAGUUCCCCCCAGAGAAACUUCCCCACAAUUCAAUCAUAGCUGAAAAGGAAACUAUCCUUGGAAUAAGCACUGUCCUGUCCUCUUUCUAAGGGGACUCCAAACAGGAAAUUGGUUUCACCUUUCAGGAACUUCUGGCACCUUGGUAGAUCUUUAAACUAUCACAUCACAGAAUUAUAGAUUUUAGAACUGGAAGGAACCCUGCAGAUCAAUCACUCAGCUCCUCAAGGCUUCUUUCUUUCAAGAGGACAGGAUAGCCAUCACUGAGGCGUGUGGGACCCCAGGACACAACUGAAAACGAGUCUUCGUGGUUUGAUGGUCCUGUGUCAGAAAAUCAGGGUGAUCUGACUACCUGGGUUUGGAGAUGAGCAUCUUGUUUUCUGGCAGAAUUGAGGAAAGCAAGACUGCUUUGGGCUCUGUGUAAAUUGUAAACUGGUUCUCAGAACAAACUCCAAGUCACAAAACAAUGAUGCUACACUAGCAAAGAGCUCACCUGGUACCAGAUCUUGAUUUCUGAUACCUCUGUGCAGUAACGGAAAACAAGGCUCCCUGGAGAAACGGCUGAUUCUAGAUCUAGGACUGGGGCAAGAAGUAUUCAAAAUUAGAAUGGAACAUCUUAUAGCAUCAUAAAUAAAGAAUUGCUGAAAAACAAGCAAAAACUACGUCGAUGGGGGAUAUUUCAAAGAGACACUGGAGCCACUUGAAGAGCUCCCAAUGGGCAAAGCUGGAAGAUUUGGAGUAAAAAAAAGAAAUCAAGUAAUAUUAGAUUACAAUCCGAAGUAUAAAAGAAAUAUCCAUGAAUCCACACUGAUAUAAAUUAUUAAAUAAAUGAAUAAAUCAGAGAUAAGUGACAAAUCUUCCUUGCAGAAGAAUUCCAAAUAAUUUACGUAGAUACACUGCCGGCAAGGAUGGGAGCAGGGGGCGGUGUAUAACUCCUCACUCUUCAAAUAUGAGUUAUGCACAGUGACUUCCUUCCAAAGAGUACAGUAUGGGAAGGGAGGAAAGGAGGGAGGGAAUAAUUUUACAUGGAGAAACCUGACAAACACUACACCAGCCAAUUCAUCAAGGUCAGCGUCAGCAAUUAUAAGCCAUGUUGAUUGUAUGUACCUUUGAUCUGAGGAGAUGAAAAUGGCUUCUUACCUCUGUGGUCUUCCUCCCACACCCCAGUCUAUUUAUGAGAAAAGUAUCAGACAAAUUUCAACGGAAGGGCAUCCUACAAAAGACUUCACCAGUAUUCCACAGAACUAUCAAGGAAAGUCUGAGAAAUUGCAGCAACCAAGAGUAGCCUCAGAAGAUAUGACAACUUAAUGUAAUGUAGUAUCCUGGAUGGGAUCAUGGAACAGAAAACGAUAAGCCUCUCUGCCAAGUGGUUACAGAUCUUUGAACCAACACUGCUGUUCACUAUGGAGGCUGACAUUUAAAUUCUUGUUGGUGGAAUGAGGGACUACAUCACAGGAUUCCCAUGAGAAUCAAGUACCAUGAAGGGGAAAGUACUUUGGAAAUUAUAAUGCACAGUUCAAAGUGGUCGUUGAAUGUUGAGCGAAUGGACAAACUAAUGAGUGAAUCAUCACAGAGAAGCAAAGCCAUCAGAAACUUGGAACCUUUUCUGCUGGUUCCCUACUUAUUGAAAAGAUGAUGCAGUCAUCCCAAAUGAACAUACUUGGGCAAUUUGCUAUCGAGGGGGUCCAUGCCUUAUAGUGGGGACUGAGCUGCUGAAGGCACUUUCCUGUGCAGCUCCAUUCUACUCAGUUUAGCACCUGUGGCCCCUGCAAUUAUUUAGUAACCGGACCAUCUCUCCUCCUGAAUGUGAGUGCCUGAAAGUCAGGAGCUACUUCUACUUUCCUUGAUUCAAAACCCUUAUGUUUGGGCUUCUCUGAUGACCACGUUAAACGUUUAAAUCCCCUGCGAACAUGUAUUAUAACCUAUACAACCAAAAGGAAGACAGAGAAGGAAGAGGGUAGAGAAGAAAGAAAGAGACCAAGCUGCCAUGCCUGCCAGCAUCGGACUGCACUCCUUCAUCCAGCCAACAAAUCAACGCAAACCCAAGGUGAGGCAUGGGAGUCAGAAAAACGAGGUGUGGGAAGAGCCACAGGGCCGAGUAGAGAGCCCAAGAUGAGAGUUAGGGCAGGAAACCUCUCUAGUGGCUCCUUUACCAUGUCAUUCUUUAACUCAUGAGUCACUCUCCACACCCCACCGUGCACACCAGGACUCAACCGCCUUACCACAUCUGGCCAGAUGCUGCAAACGCUGCCUCCAGAGGCUAUGACAGCUCGACACGGUCUUCUCCCCGUUGUAUUUUAGAUCUUUCUGUGCACCGUUUUUCAAGUGGUCAAUUCUCCGCUGGAGGGAAAGACAAGCCUGGUACAAGACCAAGCCGGUGAUCAUUAGCCAGCUCUGUGCCUUGAGCAAUGCAUGUGUAGUUAUACUAAUCAGUUGAUUGAUGCAGGUUCAGUUGGGAAAUACUACAUUUUAAGGAAGUGCAACCUUUAACUUCUGAGUUGGAGCAGGCAGCAUGCCAACGGAAGGAGGACUGGAUUAAACUAGAGAACAAUUCUUUGAGCCAUGGGCAUUGAGCUGGGCACAAACCAAGCCGGGUCCCGGGAUUCUCGGAGGAUCCAGGAAGAAGUGGGCAAGCAGGUAAGGGUCGGGCACCACAGCAAAUACCAGCUAGGUGAUCUUGCCCCCUCCUGUGUGCCAAGUCCAGGUUUGGGCAUGUCAGUUACCUCUACUGAACUUUUUUGCACACUGCUGCCUUUCAUAUUUAAUCAAAAUUUAUAACCCAUGGCUCAGAAACCUGGAAUAUUGGUGUCUUUAGUCUUGAAAGACUCAAUUAGCCCUUGUGCAGAGUUGGCCUCUCUCUCUUCCUCAGCAGGGUUGAAAAACUCGUUUCUUUUUUUUUUUAAUGUAAAGAUAAAACCCAUCACCCACAUUCCAGAAUUAGCCUGAUAAGAUUAGGUAGGAUCAGAAAAUCGUAAAAUUGUUGGGUUCAGAAGGUCUUUAGAGAUCACACCAUAUCUGAAUCUCCAACAUAACACCCCUAACAAAGUGUCCAUCAUAUUCCUUCUUAGAUAUCUCCAGGCUGGGAAUUUUCUAUCUCCCAAGGUGGCCCAUUCCAUGGUUGGUCAGAUUUAGAAGUUGGGUGUUUUAAACUUAUUUAUUGGUUCAAUUAUAAGGAGGAAUUUAUCACAGCAAGACAGCACUCACCAAAGACAUUUGGGGCUGUGUGUAGGUUGGUGACCUCAGUGGAUGCAAACAGGAUCCAUGACCACAGACUAGACCCCAAAUCCCAACUCAUAUAAGUCCUUGGUCAGCAGAGUGAACAGAAAAAUAUUGGAUGUUGCACACAGGGCCAGGACUAGAGAUAUAUUUACAAAUGAUAGACUUAGGUGUUUAUGAUAAAGUUUGUGUGAAAAUCCUUCAUUGGUCACAGAGAAAGGAACUUGAACUGAUCUCCUUUGACUUUCACUUUUAAGAGAACAUAUGAAAUUCAGGUCAGUAUCAUAGUUUUUCAGACACCAGAUGGACAUUUAAUCUUUCCCACCAGCUUAGUAAUUUCUAUAGGUUUUCUUCCUCUUGAACCAAUACCUAGGUCAGAAGAUCAUAGACUUGGGCGCCUAGUACAGUUUUAGGGCUAGAAGAUUCCCAGAAGAAAUCUUGUCUGAUUUCUUCAUCUUCAAACUAGGAAACUAAGGCCCAGAGAGAGGAAGCGACUGACCCAAGGUCACAGAGCCCUUUUGGGAUGGAGUCAGGACUAAAUCACUGGUCUCCCUACUCCUAGUAGAGUACUCUGCUCUUCAUUAUCAAUGGUGAUAUGCUGAGUAUGUACAAAGAGUGAUGAUCUAUCUAGUGUGCUUUGGGACAGGUGCUACAGAAAGUUUUAUGGAAUAGAGGAACGAGUGUGCCUCUCCCGUCUCCCCAUGUGGCAACCUUGUGGAGGAAGGAUUGCUAAAAUGCCUCUUAAGAUGUCAAUACACGAGAACAACAACAAAAAAUACGCUGUGAACACUGUCUAAUUGUAUCUGCAUGCAAAUAUAUCCAAUGGUCUUCAUCAUAAGACCUGCUAGUUAUCGUACAUCUACUAUGCUCCAAGCACUUUACAUAACUUAUUAGUUCUAAUCCUCCCAAAGACUCUGAGAGGUUAACGUUAUUGUUUUUCAUAUGAAUAAACUGAGGCUCAGAUGACACAUGGCCAGUGUGGCAGAGUCAAGAUUUGGGACCGAGUCUUCCUGGCUCCAAAGCCUGUGUUGUUUUCACCAUAGCCACCACCUUCUCUAGAUGAUCUCAAACCCACUCCUGUGUCCACCCACCAACAAGCCCCAAAUAUUUUCUGUGGCUGGUCCUGGUGUGGAAUCAAGUUGAGAUUUUUUUUGUUUUUUAAUUCUUUGACGAUUCAACUUAGUUAUCUCCUCAGGCAGUUUGGGAAGUAUCUCCCCUUUCACUGGUGUGUUCUUUUAUUUAAGGCAUCUUGUAGAAAACAGGGCAAAGUAAGACCCUAGCAUCUGGUGAUAAGUUGCAAUGUUUGAUAUGUAAACAUAAAUAAGUAGAAAUAAUAACAUUC